rnacentral:rRNA from 1 species
UUAAUGAAGAAAUAUAUCAGAAUUUUAUUUGUUUUUCACUAUAAAUUUUAGAAGUAUUGGCGGUAUUUGGUUAAAUUCUGAGGAACUUGUCUAUUUAAAUUGAUAUUACUCAUUAAAUUUUAUCUAUAAUUUUUUUUUAUGUAUUGCUGUUUAAUUUAUUAUUUAUUAUUUUAAUAAAUAGAAUUAUUAGUUAUGGUAAGAAACUCAAGUCAAAAUGUAGAUUUUUAUAGGUUUAGAUGAGUUACUUUAUAUUGAAAUGUGAAACUGUAAAGUUAAAUUGAAAUUAUUGAUGAUUUGAAGGUUGGAUUAGGGAGUAAAAAGAGAAUAAUUUGUUUUUUUGAUAAUUUAUACUAAUAUGU